rnacentral:misc_RNA from 1 species
UCCCGCUUGUACGGGCAGUCUGGCUAGAGUGUUCAACUAACCACGAGGGUUGCGCUCGUUGCGGGACUUAACCCAACAUCUCACGACACGAGCUGACGACAGCCAUGCAGCACCUGUGCUAGUGUCCGAAGAGGGAUACGUUUCCGCACCUUUCACUAGCAUGUCAAACCCUGGUAAGGUUCUUCGCGUCGCAUCGAAUUAAACCACACGCUCCGCUGCUUGUGCGGGUCCCCGUCAAUUCCUUUGAGUUUUAGCCUUGCGACCGUACUCCCCAGGCGGUACACUUAAUGCGUUAGCUACGGCACGGAGGGGGUCAUUACCCCCCACACCUAGUGUACAUCGUUUACUGCUGGGACUAC